CCGCCGGCGGCACAGUGCCUGGCAGACCGCACCAGCGCAUCCCCGCCGCUUUACGGAAGAACCACAAUGAACAGAGUGUUUUUCUUUGUUACCCUUAUUGCUACCGGUCUCGCAGCUCCAAACCGACCUCCUGGUGGCAGCAUCUCGAACACCAACGCGCAAGGAACCAGCGUAGUGCAAAGACCGGAUGGUGGCCUGUCAUUGAAUUUCCUAGCGGGCCUGGCAGCAAACCUACAUGUGGGCGUUGGUGACUUGAGCAUCGACCAGCAGCACGCGCAAGUUUUCAACCAUGCGGCUGUCAUACCUGGCGUCGGUGGCCCUCCGCGCCCCAGCUGGCAAAACUUCCACAACAGAUUCCACUAGGGCGAAAUCGGCGCCACCGCGUCCCAAAACCGGACCGGGAGCGCUGGCGGGAGAUGGCUGGAUUGUUGCACCCCCCCCCCCCCCCCUCCGUGUGGGGCAGACAGUCGCCUGGCGCCGGGCCAGAACCGGCCGCCGUCCUGGUGUCGGGUGGCCUAGCACCCGUCUGCUGCCUUGAGAGGCCCGGCCAAGAGAGAUCGGACAGUCCGCGGGAGGAUGACCGAGUCGUGUGUGACGGCGGGUGUGACGGGUGUGACGAGUGCGAUUCUGCGUGAUCAGGGAGGUGUGAGGUCCCCGGAACGGCGUCUGGCGCUAAAACGAAGGCGCUCGCCCCUGGCCGCCGCUCUCCCCGCCCAGGGACUGCCGCUCUGACUCCGACUCCAGUUCACGACUGUGCGCUUGUGUUGCUUGGUAUGACGCAGCGUCUCCAAAUAUAUGUUCACCUUGGCAUGGCCGCCCUCCGCAGCAGCUAGGGGUGACAGUUUGUGAAGCACUGCCGCUUGAAUGUCGUUUCCUCUGGUGAUCUCGCGCGGUACGUUCUUCAUGCCUGGCACCCAUGAGCGGUGGCCCGUCGCCAUGGUGGCGAUGUGCGUCACAAUUGUCAGCUCACCGCGGCGGCUUACGUAAAGUCAAAGCCGUCUUUCUGGCAACGUCAGAAGCUGAUGCAGGCCAAGGUGACGGUGGGUCUGCGGUCAGGGAUGACACGGUGCGAAGAGCACAGCCUGCAAAGCUGGGGUUUGCCAGACCCUGGCCUUUCGAAAAGUCUGCUCGUUAACGGAGGAAUAAAUCUGGUCGCUGA